rnacentral:tRNA from 1 species
GCCGGUGUGGCUCAGUGGAUAGAGCGUUGGCCUGAAGACCAAAGGGUCCAGGUUCGAUUCCGGUCAAGGGCA